rnacentral:rRNA from 1 species
AUUGAACGCUGGCGGCAGGCCUAACACAUGCAAGUCGAACGGUAACAGGAGACAGCUUGCUGUUUCGCUGACGAGUGGCGGACGGGUGAGUAAUGUCUGGGAAACUGCCUGAUGGAGGGGGAUAACUACUGGAAACGGUAGCUAAUACCGCAUAACGUCGCAAGACCAAAGAGGGGGACCUUCGGGCCUCUUGCCAUCGGAUGUGCCCAGAUGGGAUUAGCUAGUAGGUGGGGUAACGGCUCACCUAGGCGACGAGCCCUAGCUGGUCUGAGAGGAUGACCAGCCACACUGGAACUGAGACACGGUCCAGACUCCUACGGGAGGCAGCAGUGGGGAAUAUUGCACAAUGGGCGCAAGCCUGAUGCAGCCAUGCCGCGUGUAUGAAGAAGGCCUUCGGGUUGUAAAGUACUUUCAGCGGGGAGGAAGGGAGUAAAGUUAAUACCUUUGCUCAUUGACGUUACCCGCAGAAGAAGCACCGGCUAACUCCGUGCCAGCCGCCGCAGUAA